GAAUACAAUGUGUGGACAAUCUGCCAGCGAUUGCCAGGACUGAUUUGGCUGAUCCGGCUGGCUAGGCAUGUGUCCCCNUCCUCUUUUGCUGUUCCAGGUGUAUCCCUCCUCUCAGUGGAAGACAGCGAUCCACAACAGGAGUGUCCUGUUCUUCAGUCAAGGGUAAUGAUACUACCCGAUUCGAAAUGGGUUGUCUUUCAUGGUUGACUAAGACUUCUU
rnacentral:sRNA from 1 species